rnacentral:rRNA from 1 species
AUGGCCCCGAGCUCAGCGGCGUGGAAGCCAGGCGCCGGCAAGGCCGGGGUCGAGGUCGGUGAGCCUGGCGGUGGCGGUCGGGUGCGCAUCAAGCAGCAUGUCAUCCUCCGUCCAGCAGUACAACUUGGAGAGGUCCAACGAGGUAAGCGCGGGGCAGGUCUGGAGCAGCGGCUCGAGAUCCACGCCGCCGGAGAGAUCGACGUUGCGAAGCUUACCCCGCCAGCAGGGUGCGAGUGCGAGGCUGGCAUGCGUGGAGGGGUCGCGGCAGUAGAUGGCGAGGUCGGACACGGCGGGGAAGUAGAUGGCGAGGCGCGUCGCAACAAGGCGUUCCGCUCGGCGAUUUCUUUCGGGUGGAGCGGGAGGUUGUUGGAGGAGGAGGCGGGCGCCCCCGCGAUUCACGAGGCCAAGGAGAACAGCGGGUGGCCCUACAACGAAACCAGCGAGAGGUUGAGCCGCUCGAGCACCGGGAAGCAGAAGGUCGGCGAGAGCAGCAGGAAGCCAGGCGCCCUCGGUUCCCCGCGCAGCGCCAUCACGACCCGUGUCGCCCGCUCCGCCGCCAGCAGCCUGCGGCACGCCAUCGAGGCCCUGUGCCGUGACCAGGUGUCGCCCAGGAAGCCCAGGAUGAUCCACACAAACUGA